rnacentral:rRNA from 1 species
AAGAAGGUCUUCGGAUCGUAAAACUCUGUCCUUGGUGAAGAUAAUGACGGUAGCCAAGGAGGAAGCCCCGGCUAACUACGUGCCAGCAGCCGCGGUAAUACGUAGGGGGCUAGCGUUGUCCGGAUUACUGGGCGUAAAGGGUGAGUAGGCGGUUGCAUAAGUCAGAUGUAAAAGGCUAAGGCUUAACCAUAGUAUGCAUUUGAAACUGUGUGACUUGAGUACAGGAGAGGUAAGCGGAAUUCCUAGUGUAGCGGUGAAAUGCGUAGAUAUUAGGAGGAACACCAGUGGCGAAGGCGGCUUACUGGACUGUAACUGACGCUGAGUCACGAAAGCGUGGGUAGCAAACAGGAUUAGAUACCCUGGUAGUCCACGCUGUAAACGAUGAGUGCUAGGUGUUGGGUAGCGAUACUCAGUGCCGAAGUAAACACAAUAAGCACUCCGCCUGGGGAGUACGGUCGCAAGACUGAAACUCAAAGGAAUUGA